rnacentral:rRNA from 1 species
GAUGAACGCUGGCGGCGUGCCUAAUACAUGCAAGUCGAGCGAACAGACGAGGAGCUUGCUCCUCUGACGUUAGCGGCGGACGGGUGAGUAACACGUGGAUAACCUACCUAUAAGACUGGGAUAACUUCGGGAAACCGGAGCUAAUACCGGAUAAUAUAUUGAACCGCAUGGUUCAAUAGUGAAAGACGGUUUUGCUGUCACUUAUAGAUGGAUCCGCGCCGCAUUAGCUAGUUGGUAAGGUAACGGCUUACCAAGGCAACGAUGCGUAGCCGACCUGAGAGGGUGGUCGGCCACACUGGAACUGAGACACGGUCCAGACUCCUACGGGAGGCACCCGUAGGGAAUCUUCCGCAAUGGGCGAAAGCUUGACGGAGCAACGCCGCGUGAGUGAUGAAGGUCUUCGGAUCGUAAAACUCUGUUAUUAGGGAAGAACAAAUGUGUAAGUAACUAUGCACGUCUUGACGGUACCUAAUCAGAAAGCCACGGCUAACUACGUG